rnacentral:lncRNA from 1 species
AUGCUGGCUGCUGAAUGGUGCUGGCCAUCAUCAGCUUUUGUUUACUUCAUCCUCCGUGUGAAGAUAGCAGCUGUUUCUUUCAGUAAAAAAGAAGUAAAAGAAUGUAGCGACCUACCUCACAUUUCCCCCCUCCUCCUCCAAAUGUUUGUGGAGCCCAACAGCUGUCUUUGCAAAUCCUGCCACUCAGGAUUGCAAUGGCUGUACAUAAUCAAGCAUGGAGUGCUGAAGCUGAGAUUGUUGGCUGGCUCCAGGAGGCAGUUGCUGCGUAAGAAAUGACUAAUUCAUUAUGAUCUUGAGGCCGUGCAGACUGACCUAUAAUCUUAGAAUUACUAAGCCAUUAUGAAAGGUUUUCUAUUAGGUAAGUUUCCAUCCCUUUACCAUUCAACAUUUUGCUAACUCAAAGCAUUUUUACAAAUAUUUAAUUGAUUGGAAUCUGGAAAAGUAAUAAGCUUUUUUUCUGUUCUUAUAUGGCAUCCCCAAUAUCACAGUCUAUAACUGAUUUGAAAGAUUACCUAUAGCCCCUGGAUAUUCUUCUCCCCAUGUUAAAAGAAAGCAGGAAAAAUGAGAUUUGUGGAUGCAUCAUUACAAAUCGAGAUCAGUGGCGGGUGAAAAUUCUGGGAUUCAAUAAAGGAAGUUGCACCCAAGAGUAAGCUUGUUAAUGAAACAAUUUUUUACUAGUCACUGACUUCUUCCUUUAUUUUCUGGGUAAACAAGUUGAGAAUGCUGAGUGUUGUGGGCUGGUCCCCCGGUUUCUCUGCAAUACAUUGUCUGGACGUUAUUACUGAAAUGCACGUCAUUGUCUGCCCUUUAGUCCCCGGGGCCUGUGGGAGCUGUUGUGACUUGCUCCUUCCCAGUGUUCAGAUCCUCUAGCUGCUCUGUCAACACUUUAAGGUCAAGUCUCCGAUCAGGACUGGCCAGGCUCACUUUUUCUUGUUGGCAGUAGAUUCUCUUUCACUGUGAUCAGACCUCAGAUCAGCCUCUGCCCCAAAGAGACUGGAUCAGCAGUGAAAGGUAGAACACUUCACAUUGAAAUGGCCCACAGAGUAGAUACAGGGUCAUGUUAAGAUCUGGAUAGAGUUUCACAGCAGGUUGAAAAUGGUAUCAAUUAAAAAAAAAAAAUUGUGACUUAAUAUUGAGGCGGAUUAUCCAUUACUAGCCUGCUCCCUGCCUCCCCUUUAAGAGUGAGGAAGUAGCUGAUCAUAAUCAUGACUGCAUUCGCUAAGGAUUACGGGUGUCCAGACGGGUGGGCGUGGUUUCAAGUGCUUUUUCUGCUUUAUCUCACUUAGUCCUCUUCCCAUCCGUAGGUGGUAUUUCCCUUUCAAGGGGUUAAACAAAAGAAUGCCCUAAACACUUAACACAGCAUCUGAUAAUGCAUGAAGAAAUGUUAGCUUACUAUCAUCACUAAUCAUCAAAAAAGACUCAUCAGCGAGCGUUGUGCUCGUAAAGCUGAGUCUUUCAGAAUCCUACCAGUUCAGGAUAGACAUUUUCCGUUGGGGGAAGAAUGCACCCAGUGAAAUAGUAUACCCUUAUGCAAAGUUACAUUUCUGUAUUUCAGUGGCUAAUAAUCUAAACAAGGGAGGGAAGGACAAAAGAAAUUUUUCAUCGCCACUCCUAGUGACUAAAGUGCAUCCCGUGUGCAGGUGUGGGUGACAUACGACUUCCGUGGGCCAUCCCCUCUCCAGUGUAAUAGCAACGUUUCUGCUGAUCAGGGAUUCAGUCUCAAAGCCUCAAAUGUCCAAGGGGGGAAAUGGGAUGCCUGGGCAGACAGUGGGAAUGCUUUGUUCAAACAGAAGUGAAGCUCGAGAGCAAAGAUGCUAUAGAGGAAAUUCAGCCCUCCGUUAAAUGCCCUUUAAGGUCAUAUCUUACUCUAAAAAUGUAUGAUGUCGAGAACACAUGUUGAUAACAUUUUUAACAGAUUAAAGUGAAGACUCCAUCACGUAAUUGCCAGGUGUACCUUUCAGAAGUAACUCUUAAUGAAACCCUAUAUUUAAUUAAAUCUUUAACUUUGAAAAAAAUCUGCCUUAAAAAUGGACACUCAAGAGUUUAACAUUAGAGUCCUGAAUGGGCACAGUUGGGAUGGGCAAGAAGGAGGUCAGAGGAGCAUGAUUCAGUCAUGAUGUUGGCUACAGGCCGAUAGGACCAGGAUUAAAAUGUGACCCUGAACCCAGUUAGCUGUGUGACCUUGGAAAAGUGGUGAAAUCACCUCUUGAUGUGGAUUUUUGCCUCUGUAAAAUAAAAUACUUUAAAGAGUCUUUAUGAGGAUUAUAUGAGAUUGUGCAUAUAAAGUACUCAGCACAUAUUAGAUACUCAGUCAAUAAUAGCGAUAAUGAGGAGACCCAGCAAGUACCUUAGGCUCUAAUGAUUCUGAACAACAAAGAGGUAAUUUUCAAGUCUAUUCAAAAACAUAAAUGAUUUUCUCAUCUUGCCAAAUAUUUCGGCCUAUCAAACCCCUCUUAUCCUCACAAAACAGCUCAGAAAAAUGCAGUACCAUACAGGAAAGGAUAGAAAGGUGGAUUAAGUGUUCCUUCCAGGUAAUACCUCACAGGUGAUGCAUAUUUGCAUCCAGUUAGUCCCGAACAAUCUUAAACAUACGGUAGACCUUCAAUAAAUGGAACCAAGCAGAAUAGGAAGCACGUAGCAUUACCAACAUUCCCUGAGGAAAUAACCAGUGUUUCAGAAUUUCCCAAGGGGCAGCAGAGAUGUGAAACUCACUGAUGCAAAUUCCAUGGGAUCCGGAAAUUAUCUGUAGUUAAGUGCAAAUAGAUACAGGAAACUAACCAUCUCAAUGAGUCUGGAUAAUUAUAGGAAACACCGUGGACAAGCAUUAGGAGAUACACAAUCUGGAGAUGGACAGGUAGGGGGAUUGCAGACAGAGGCAGAGAAGUGACCAAAUCCCCAAUGAGGAGGAACUGGACAUUACACCAGACCCACCGUGUUAUUAUUUGCUGCAUGACUCACUUACAGUGAAUUGUGUCUCACUUUUAUUCUGUAGUAUAUUGUCAUUCUCUGUUAAUAUUGUUAUUAUUAUUGUUAAUGACAGCAACAGAAUAACUGAAGCC